UGGUGUUGAAAAUGUAAAUGUUGUUACUGAAGACAUUGGUGGUAAAAGAAAAUAAAAAUAAAAGAGAGCUUAUGUGUUGAGGUUGAUGCGAGGGGAAUGAUGAAAGAACAAUUGGCUGGAUUUUAUUCGCCCAUUAGUUGUGGAUUACACGAAGAGACAGGUGCAAUGGUGGUCUGGAGUGAAGAGAUUAGUGAUAAUGAGAAGAAUAUGAAUGGAAGUCUGAGGAUAGAAUCACAGGAGAUAGAUGAUUGUUCUGGGGAUAGAAGUACAGUAGAUGGGAUAGUUAG
rnacentral:lncRNA from 1 species